UUACACGGUUAUUAAUUCAAAAUGACACCAUCUAAUAAGCCGAAUGCGCUUGGUAGAUGAUAAGUAAAAACUUAACAAUGACUUUUGUUAUUUUGCACCUUACGCUCACUUCUAAUAUCGCAAAUUAAAUACCACUAUACUUGUUUUGCGCUCGAUCGCUCACAUGUUUCGGAAAUUCCGUCGAUCAAUUGCUCAAUGUAUUGUUACUAAACCCAAUGCGUUCUAUGUUCCUAGCAAAAGUGUGCUAUUUUUAUUUGCAAUUACAUUUUCUUCGGAUUGUUUUCGUCAAAUUAAGUUGUAUCAAAAUGUUGUUUAUGUGUAAAAAGAUAAUUGCGUCGAUAGAAAAUAACACAUUGUCAACAAAACAAUACGCUACGAAGGUGGAUUUCUUCUUUUUUGUACACAAGGGUAUAACUAUGUCGUUUUAAUAUAGAACAUUACGUCAAAGAUCUUCUUUCUGUUUAUUUCAAGUUCCACCAUGUUACUUGAGCGAUACUGCGCUUGCCGCGGGCAUUCUACCCUUGGAGCAAAGUACUGUGACACCGCCAAAUGCUCAGUACCUGGUGUACGCCCAUAAUCCGGGCGGAUUCGAUUUCAAAAGAAGUUCCGGAGCCGUGAACGCCGAGAACACGUGCGGCGACUCCGUGUCCACCGUCAGAGAGACGCUGAUUGUGAACAUCAUCAAUACGGCACCGUUGAUUACUAAUCCUUGGGGUUCCAGUGACGUCGACGAGGACGUCAGCGGAACGUUGACGUUAAAGACGUUGGAUUUUGUUACUUUCGAUAAGUCUGAUGCCACCUGCUCAAUGACGAGCGCUGACGGAGGACCAUUCGCCGUCACUGGAAGCCUCUUUAUUAAAAAUCCAGUUCAGGUGGACAGUGUCGUCCCUGAUAAGCCUGUGGGAACUGCAUAGGCUGAUCUGAGAUGACGCUUUAGCACGUGCAUUAAGUCCAGUUUUCGCAGAAUAAGACGUAUAUAGGCUCAGGCACAGACGUCUUUCAGGCAACCAAAUCGUAAAGACGGCUGGAGCUCUGGACUUUGAAACAAAGGCAACGUAUAAUCUUGACGUCACGUGCACGGACGACCUUCUUCAAACCACGGAUACUUACGUUGUCAAAGUCCAAAACGUCGGUCCAAAGAUAACGAGUUUGCCGACAGCGUCUACUCUGGUCGAGUGGCAGACUGCGGAAAAGCUACUCACGACGUUGACGUUAGCGGAGGACGCGGCUGACUGCGUUUAAACGUCACCGACGUAUAUCGAGAAUAAUAGUAUGGGUGAUCUACUACGUCAGCGAGGCGGUUGCGGGGCGGUCGCUUAGCUACGACACGAACCCCUUUUACAACCUGCACAUUCAGUACAGCGACGCCGCGGGGGUCAAAGGGGCGGAGAAGAUUUUCACCGUCCAUAUUAACGAUAACAAAGCACCGACGAGCGACAACCUUAGCAGUAAGCCGAACAACAUAUGCUUGAUUAAGGACGCCUUGCGAGAAUUCUUCAGCGUUAUUUAGAUACUUUAAAAAUAAGUUCUAGUAUUACUUAUAUAGUAUUGUAUCAACUUUGAUCCAUCUUUGUAUUGCGCAUUAUGUCUUUUUGUUUGCCAAAACGACGUUACUUUACUGUAUUACGUUGACGUCACUUCUUGUGUUUAUGCUUCGAAUCAUACUACUGAUGACAGCUAUGGCCGAAACAUGAUUUAUGUUUAA